UACGGGGGGGGCAAGCGUUGUUCGGAAUUACUGGGCGUAAAGGGCUCGUAGGUGGCCAACUAAGUCGGACGUGAAAUCCCUCGGCUUAACCGGGGAACUGCGUCUGAUACUGGAUGGCUUGAGUUCGGGAGAGGGAUGCGGAAUUCCAGGUGUAGCGGUGAAAUUCGUAGAUAUCGGGAGGAACACCGGUGGCGAAGGCGGCGACCUGGGCCAAUACUGACACUGAGGUGCGAAAGCGUGGGGAGCAAACAGG
rnacentral:rRNA from 1 species